UUUUCCGUGUCCCCGCCUGCAGAGUCAGUGUGCGGUUUGGGAGAAAAUGUGUCGGAUAUUUUGGGGCGGUCACGUGGGCGGGCGGGCUCCGAGAGGCCCCGGGACAGUCCCAGCCUAGAGCCGUGCCCCCCCAGGAGCCCCCCAGUACGGCGAGCCCCGGACAUUGCGACGCUCCAUCCAAGAGACUGCCCGACGCCGGGACCUCGGGGCUCCGCCGCCUCCCUUCCCCCUCCCACUCCAGGACUUUUGGAGGCCCAGUGGGCAGGCCAGGCAGGGCGGGUACGGAGCCUCCCAGGCUGGGGCAGUGGGCAUGGGCAGGGGCUGUGGCUGAAGACCUCGCCCGCCCACUGCAGACCCCAGGGGACUCUCACACCGCAGCUGCCAUGGCCACCAAUAAGGAGCGACUCUUUGCGGCUGGUGCCCUGGGGCCUGGAUCUGGCUACCCAGGGGCAGGUUUCCCCUUCGCCUUCCCAGGGGCACUCAGGGGGUCUCCGCCUUUCGAGAUGCUGAGCCCUAGCUUCCGGGGCCUGGGCCAGCCUGACCUCCCCAAGGAGA
rnacentral:lncRNA from 10 species